GUAAUGUAUGGGGAGCUGCCUGAUGGCGGGGGGUAACUACUGGAAACGGUAGCUAAUACCGCAUAAUGUCUCGGGACCAAAGCGGGGGGACCUCCGGGCCUCGCGCCAUCAGAUGAACCCAUAUGGGAUUAGCUAGUAGGUAAGGUAACGGCUUACCUAGGCGACGAUCCCUAGCUGGUCUGAGAGGAUGAUCAGCCACACUGGGACUGAGACACGGCCCAG
rnacentral:rRNA from 1 species